UUCUGGCUCAGGAUGAACGCUGGCGGCGUGCCUAACACAUGCAAGUCGAGCGAGAAACUCAUGACCAAUACUCGGUAGCGUGAUGAGCGGAAAGCGGCGGACGGGUGAGUAACGCGUAGGCAACCUGCCCCUUGCAGAGGGAUAGCCUCGGGAAACCGGGAUUAAAACCUCAUAAUGCGUAACGGAGACAUCUCCGAUACGCCAAAGAUUUAUCGGCAAGGGAUGGGCCUGCGUCUGAUUAGUUAGUUGGUGGGGUAACGGCCUACCAAGGCAGCGAUCAGUAGCCGACCUGAGAGGGUGAUCGGCCACAUUGGAACUGAGACACGGUCCAAACUCCUACGGGAGGCAGCAGUGGGGAAUAUUGCACAAUGGGCGAAAGCCUGAUGCAGCAACGCCGCGUGAAGGAUGAAGGCCCUUGGGUCGUAAACUUCUGUUCUAAGGGAAGAUAAUGACGGUACCUUAGGAGCAAGUCCCGGCUAACUACGUGCCAGCCGCCGC
rnacentral:rRNA from 1 species